rnacentral:tRNA from 1 species
GCGCUGCGGGCGCCCGGCUGGCGCCGCCAUCUGGGCGACGUCGACCCGCGUGCGAUCGAUUCGCGCGCAGCGCU